CUAGGAGCGACAGCGAAUCGGCAGCCAGGAGCUGCGCGUCGCACCAGCACACCCUUUCCCACACACAAGCGAAUCGCCAUCAUUACACCCUCCGCUCAUUAGGCUUCCACAAACAUACAUAUCCGUCUCCGCACCGAUUCCCAAAGGCGACGCUUUUUCAUUGACUUCCCUCUCCUUGUGCUAUCCUCACAUCGGCUGCCGCAUCUGAACGCACUACACACAAACGAAAGCAUAUAUCUCAUUCGACAUCCACCUUCUCGCGCCAUUCGACCUCCCUCAGCAGCUGUUUCGACUAUAUACCCCUCCCCACCCCCUUGAAAUGGGCCUCUCUGACCUUGACGAGGACGAACCGGUGCCUCACUUGCCUCGAUCAGCGGUCUUGAUCUCACCACCACCACCACCACGGUCCGUCAUCGCGGCCGGCUCCGCCACUACCACAACCGUCUCCCUCAUGACGACGUUCAAUCAAAACAGCACCAGCGGUAAAACCUCCGUGCUGGACGACUUGUUCAGCAGCGUCAACGUCAGCGCCCCUGCCAGUACCGCUGGCGCCAGUGCGCCACCCAUGUGUUUCUCGUCCUCCGCCUCGGCCACCCAGAAUGCUACGCCAACAGCCGCUGCUGACGCCGCUUCAAACGUGCUGAAUGACCUUUUCUCAACCCCAGAUGUAGCAUCGUCUGAAAAGAGCGACAAGUACGGCAGCGUGGGUGAGGCACACGCCAUAAUUUACGUGGACGGCAGCAGCGGCAGCGCAGAGGAUGGCGUUACCAACCUGUUUGACCUUUCGAAGCCAGUGAAGAAAGACAAGUACAACAAUGCGGAGAGUUUCCUUGAGGCCUUUGAACGGCAAGGCAAAAAGAGCGGCAGUGGCGGCGGCCGCCAUGACGAGCGCAAAACACUCGCCGACCUGACGCGCAACAAGGACGACAAUAAAGUUCGAGCUCGCUUGCUGCCCCUCAUGAAUUACUACGAUGUGCUCGGGGUCGCCCCAACGGCGUCUGAGGAGGAGAUCAAGCGCAGCUACAAGAAGAAAGCGCUGCAGCUGCACCCUGACCGCGCCGGUCGCGAUCAGACGCAGGAGGAGGCAGAACUGUUCAAGGUAAUCACCAAAGCCAAUGAGGUGCUUUCAGACGCGGAGCAGCGCCGCAUGUACGACGCAAGUCUUGCCAGUGGUGCAGGGCAGCCAGCUAUGGCCCCGUCGGCGGCAGACUGGUGGAGUCACAUGCAGAGCUGAUCUGUCAAUUUGCACUCUGCCACGUAUCAACGAAGGCGCGUCACGCUUGACAGUUGCACCGCGAUUUUUGUGCUGCGUUUCGAUUGCGCUUGCCACCACUUUUUUUCUGCUCCAGCACACUCUUUUUCUCGGUAUAAGCGUUUUAUUUCAAAGCACGUCUGCUCGUGCGUGUGGGCAGCGAGGUGAUGGGUUUAGUUUUUUUGGAGCGCAUGAGCGUGCUAGUUGGAGAUGGUGCUGGCCUCACCGCUAUGCGCCUUUCUUGAGUGUGGCUUGCGUGCAGGAUCCGUGCGAUCCGGCGCUGUGCCCGGUGUGCCACGUGCGGUUCCGCGGAUCGCUGGAGGCUCGAGGCAGACUGCACAUCGGGCUUGAUGGUGCACGCAAUGGUGCGGCCGCGCACGUCUCACUCGCGCAGCAUGGGCCUCCCCCGUCGGGUGUCUGCGGCUGCUCCCUGUGCCCCUUCAGGGCGGCCGUGCGGAAGCUCUUUGUGCGCUGGCGCGUGAUUGUCCGCGUGCCCCUUCCACUUGCCACACACACCCGCUCCUGUCACGCGCGUGCGGAUUGAGGAGGUGGAGCGCCCCUGCCGGCACAGACUCGUAGCCGCGCCGACACGCCUCCUCCCUCUCCUCCCGCUCCUCUCUCCCCUCGCAUGGCAUCGACGGGAAACAGCAGAUGAGGGCAGCGAGCCACCCCCCUUCCCCCCUCCCCCCUCCCAAUGCACACAGUGGAUGCGUGCGAAGUGUGCGGCCUCUCCCCCAUGCGGCCGGGCGGGUGCGAUGAGGCACGACGAGAGCGCCGCGGAUGGCGCCGUCGAGCCCUCCCGACUGCGGUGUGAAGGGUGCCCACACCACCUUGUGGGAUGCCGCGGCUGGAAGCGACUGAGAGGGCGCAGCACGUGUGCGAAGGAAGGGACGAGGAAGGACAGGAGGAGCCUGCCUAGACGCGUGGCCCCGAUCCGGCGGCUGGACGCUGCGCCCUCGAGGACCCGGAUGUAGUCGCGGCGCCACAGGAGGUGGGUGCGCUGCGGUUGGAUGCGUAUACGUUUUCUAACUUUUUGGUGUUUGAGCGGACGCGAUGAAAGGAAGCGGUGCGAGCAUGAUUCGUUUUGUCAGACACAGAUGCCCUCCCUGUGCACAUGGGCGUGAAAGGCCUGCAUCUCUGACAUUGCACGGAUACUAUUCGCUCUCCGAGAAAACCCUCCCCCUUCUGUGACGGUGUUGUGGAUCUCAUGGUUGCGUAGCUCUGUUCUCUCUCUCUCUCGUGGUUACUCGAGGCUGGAUGACGCCGUUUUUCGUUUUCCAUUCGUUUUAUUGCUCUUUUCUGUGCCAGUUUACAGACGGUGUAUCUCCGGGGACGUGAUGAUGUGCGACCUUCGUCCGCUGAUUCUCUCGUUCUCUGUUUCUUCACCUGUUUGCCUGCUUGCGGCGAUCGUGUGGCCUGUUCCUCUAUCACGUGUC
rnacentral:misc_RNA from 1 species